rnacentral:rRNA from 1 species
UACGAGGGGGGCGAGCGUUGUUCGGAAUUAUUGGGCGUAAAGGGCGCGUAGGCGGUCGGGUAAGUCUUGUGUGAAAUCUUCGGGCUCAACUCGAAGUCUGCACAGGAAACUAUCUGGCUUGAGUGUGGGAGAGGUGAGUGGAAUUCCUGGUGUAGCGGUGAAAUGCGUAGAUAUCAGGAGGAACACCUGUGGCGAAAGCGGCUCACUGGACCACAACUGACGCUGAGGCGCGAAAGCUAGGGGAGCAAACAGG